GCCACAGUAGCUCAGUUGGUAGAGCAGCGGUUUCGUAAACCGCAGGUCUCCGGUUCAAGCCCGGACUGUGGCUCCA
rnacentral:tRNA from 1 species